rnacentral:sRNA from 1 species
AAUUUUAUAAAAUAUUUUUAUUUUACAGUUUAUAAUUGUUAUUAGGUAACCCUAUACCACGAAUCCAUGAGAUAAUUGUUAAAAAACUGGAGUUUUAAUCCCUAUUAAAACAGUAUAUUAAUAAUAUUUUAAAAUUUUAUAAAUAUUGAUUCAAAUACAUCCACCAUAUAACCCAAUUCUAAAAUAAAACUCGUUAUGUAAUUUUUUUACCCGUCCCGUGAUUAUUUUUCUAAAGUAGUAAUUUUUAAAAUUUAAGAAUUAUUUUUUAUAUAUUAAAGUUUUGCAAAUUGUAUCAUUCUCUAAUACAUUUAUAUUUUAUUGU